GGCGGCGUGCUUAACACAUGCAAGUCGAACGGUGCAACCCUUCGGGGUGGAUCACUGGCGAACGGGUGAGUAACACGUGGGCAAUCUGCCCUGCACUCUGGGACAAGCCCUGGAAACGGGGUCUAAUACCGGAUACGACCUUCCUCCGCAUGGGGGUUGGUGGAAAGCUCCGGCGGUGCAGGAUGAGCCCGCGGCCUAUCAGCUUGUUGGUGGGGUAAUGGCCUACCAAGGCGACGACGGGUAUCCGGCCUGAGAGGGCGACCGGCCACACUGGGACUGAGACACGGCCCAGACUCCUACGGGAGGCAGCAGUGGGGAAUAUUGCACAAUGGGCAAAAGCCUGAUGCAGCGACGCCGCGUGAGGGAUGACGGCCUUCGGGUUGUAAACCUCUUUCAGCAGGGAAGAAGCGCAAGUGACGGUACCUGCAGAAGAAGCACCGGCUAACUACGUGCCAGCAGCCGCGGUAAAACGUAGGGUGCGAGCGUUGUCCGGAAUUAUUGGGCGUAAAGAGCUCGUAGGCGGCCUGUCGCGUCGGAUGUGAAAGCCCGGGGCUUAACCCCGGGUCUGCAUUCGAUACGGGCAGGCUAGAGUGUGGUAGGGGAGAUCGGAAUUCCUGGUGUAGCGGUGAAAUGCGCAGAUAUCAGGAGGAACACCGGUGGCGAAGGCGGAUCUCUGGGCCAUUACUGACGCUGAGGAGCGAAAGCGUGGGGAGCGAACAGGAUUAGAUACCCUGGUAGUCCACGCCGUAAACGUUGGGAACUAGGUGUUAGCGACAUUCCACGUCGUCGGUGCCGCAGCUAACGCAUUAAGUUCCCCGCCUGGGGAGUACGGCCGC
rnacentral:rRNA from 1 species